rnacentral:rRNA from 1 species
GACGAACCGUGCGAACGUUGUUCGGAAUCACUGGGCUUAAAGGGCGCGUAGGCGGGCGUGCAAGCCCGGGGUGAAAUCCUCCAGCUUAACUGGAGAACGGCCUCGGGGACUGUGCGUCUGGAGUGGGGUAGGGGUACGCGGAACACUAGGUGGAGCGGUGAAAUGCGUUGAGAUCUAGUGGAACUCCGGUGGCGAAGGCGGCGUACUGGACCCCGACUGACGCUGGAGGCGCGAAAGCUAGGGGAGCGAACGGG